GACAGAGGGUGCAAACGUUGUUCGGAAUUACUGGGCGUAAAGCGCGUGUAGGCGGCUUCGCAAGUCGGGUGUGAAAGCCCUCGGCUCAACCGAGGAAGUGCACUCGAAACUGCGGAGCUGGAGUCCCGGAGAGGAUGGUGGAAUUCUCGGUGUAGAGGUGAAAUUCGUAGAUAUCGAGAGGAACACCGGUGGCGAAGGCGGCCAUCUGGACGGUGACUGACGCUGAGACGCGAAAGCGUGGGGAGCAAACAGG
rnacentral:rRNA from 1 species